UAGCAGGCUAGAUAAUAUUUCCACUAUAACGAUAUUUCCACUAUAACGACCCUAAUUUCCACUAUAACGAUAUUUCCACUAUAACGACCCAACCUGUAUCGAGGUAAUUAAGAAGAUAGCAGGCUAAAUAAUAUUUCCUACUAUAACGACCCAACCUGCUAGCAAUAAUAACUCGUUGGAUACAAACCACCGGCCCAAAAUACUUAAACCAAGUUAUUAUGUCUAGCCCAAUUAAGCUUAUAUACUCCACAUCUAGUUAUAACUAUCCGAUGUGGGACUAUUGGGUGUCACAGACUCCCCCCGUUUAGGCCUUGACGUUCUUGUCAGCCCUAAAUACACACACAACCCAAAAUCAUUAGGCGAUGUGAGACUUGUCUCGCUAACCUUUGUCAUUCCGAACCUGACUUAGUCUGUCGAUUACUGACCCUGACUUAGUCUGUCAUUUCGACCCUUGCUCAGUGAAGACUCAUCUCACACUUUCAGCUGGUGAACUAGCUUUGAUACCAAAUGUAACGACCCGACCCGCUAGCAAUAAUAACUCGCUAGGCCCAAACCAACAACCCAAAAUGCUUAAGCCCAGUUAUUAGUACUAGUGUCUAAGUCUCUUAUAUAGCCAAUCACAUUCUCAUUCCUAUUCGAUAUG
rnacentral:lncRNA from 1 species